GUGUCAGCCGCCGCGGUAAUACGUAGGGGGCAAGCGUUGUCCGGAUUUAUUGGGCGUAAAGAGCGUGUAGGCGGCCAGGUAGGUCCGCUGUGAAAACUCGAGGCUCAACCUCGAGAUGUCGGCGGAAACCAUCUGGCUAGAGUCCGGAAGAGGAAAGUGGAAUUCCCGGUGUAGCGGUGAAAUGCGCAGAUAUCGGGAAGAACACCCGUGGCGAAGGCGGCUUUCUGGGACGGUACUGACGCUGAGACGCGAAAGCGUGGGGAGCGAACAGGAUUAGAAACCCUCGUAGUCC
rnacentral:rRNA from 1 species